GCGCAGGCGGUUUAAUAAGUCUGAAGUUAAAGGCAGUGGCUUAACCAUUGUUCGCUUUGGAAACUGUUAAACUUGAGUGCAGAAGGGGAGAGUGGAAUUCCAUGUGUAGCGGUGAAAUGCGUAGAUAUAUGGAGGAACACCGGUGGCGAAAGCGGCUCUCUGGUCUGUAACUGACGCUGAGGCUCGAAAGCGUGGGGAGCAAACAGGAUUAGAUAUCCUGGUAGUCCACGCCGUAAACGAUGAGUGCUAGGUGUUAGGCCCUUUCCGGGGCUUAGUGCCGCAGCUAACGCAUUAAGCACUCCGCCUGGGGAGUACGACCGCAAGGUUGAAACUCAAAGGAAUUGACGGGGGCCCGCACAAGCGGUGGAGCAUGUGGUUUAAUUCGAAGCAACGCGAAGAACCUUACCAGGUCUUGACAUCCCAGUGACCGCUCUAGAGAUAGAGUUUUUCUUCGGAACACUGGUGACAGGUGGUGCAUGGUUGUCCUCAGCUCGUGUCGUGAGAUGUUGGGUUAAGUCCCGCAACGAGCGCAACCCUUAUUGUUAGUUGCCAUCAUUCAGUUGGGCACUCUAGCGAGACUGCCGGUAAUAAACCGGAGGAAGGUGGGGAUGACGUCAAAUCAUCAUGCCCCUUAUGACCUGGGUACGCACGUGCUACAAUGGUUGGUACAACGAGUCGCAAGUCGGUGACGGCAAGCAAAUCUCUUAAAGCCAAUCUCAGUUCGGAUUGUAGGCUGCAACUCGCCUACAUGAAGUCGGGAUCGCUAGUAAUCGC
rnacentral:rRNA from 1 species